ACUCAUAGCUCACUUUCUCACUUCCCGAACCCCAGGCUAAAACUCUAGGGAACUCACCGAAAACCUUGCACCUACUUUUCUUUCUUUUCUUUCUUUUUCUCUUGGAAGGAUAUGGACUUUCUUCUCACGCACAAGACUUCUCACGCCCCAGAAUUUUUCUCCAAAAAUCUUCUUCUUGCACGUCCCACUCUUCUCCUCUUUUUAUAACAACGUCAAACGUCUUAUCCAAAAGAAAGGAUAAAGAUGAGUAAUUGCACAUUUGAAUUCAAAUCAAAUUUUGAAUUCAAAUGGACACCAACUCAUCCCUUAUCCACUAAAGGUGUGAGGCGUGGCUUAAAUUGUGCAUGGAGUGAUUUCAUGAGAAACCUUUUCUCAUGUAAUAAAUAGGGCGU
rnacentral:lncRNA from 1 species